AUGGCAGGUCGCCCGUUGCUGGCCCCGGCCGUCACGCUGCGUCCUCCUGGACCAGCGUUGGGCUCGAGGGCCUCGCUAUACGUCGGUGACCUCGAUGAUGGCGUGGCGGAGGGGCACCUCUAUGCCCUGUUCUGCAAGGUGGCGCCCGUGGCGUCCCUCCGUAUAUGCCGGGACGUCAUUGGCAGGUCACUUGGGUACGCCUAUGUGAAUUUCUACAGUCGGGAGGAUGCCAAACGUGCAUUAGACUCUUUAAAUUUUACCCCUGCCAACGGGAAGCAUAUCCGAGUUAUGUUCUCGAAUAGGGACCCAACGCUGCGAUUGAGUGGAAAGGCCAAUAUAUUCAUAAAAAAUCUUGUGCCAAAUAUUGAUGGCAAGAGCUUGAGUGAUAUGUUUGGUCGCUAUGGCACUAUACUAUCAUGCAAAGGAUUUGUUCAGUUUUCAGAGGAGACAUCUGCCAAUGAUGCCAUCGACAGCUUGAAUGGCAAGUUGGUGAAUGGCAAACGAAUUUUUGUAGGUCUCUUCAUUCGUCGUCAGGAGAGGCAGCCAAAUAUCAGCGUGAGUAAUUAUACAAAUGUAUAUGUGAAGAACUUGCCAAAGGGAUUCACUCACAAUGACCUUCUGCAAGAGUUUGGUCCUUUUGGUACAAUUACUAGCGCUGUAAUCAUGAGAGAUAAUGAUGGAAUAUCCAAAUGCUUCGGAUUCGUUAACUAUGGGGAAUCAGAAUGUGCUGCAGAAGCUGUGAAAAGUCUUAAUGGUAAGAUGAUUAAGGAUACAAUUUUGUAUGUUGGAAGAGCUCAGAAAAAGUCAGAAAGAGAAGCAGAACUGAGAGAAAACUUUGAGCGUGCAAGAAAUGAGAAAUUCAAAAAGUUUGAAGGGCUCAAUCUAUACGUGAAGAAUCUAGAUGAUAGUAUUAAUGAUCUAAAUCUUAGAGGGUUAUUUGAAUUUUUUGGUGAGAUAGGAUCAUGCAAGGUUAUGGUUGAUUCACAAGGAAGGAGCCAGGGUUAUGGCUUUGUGUCAUUUACAACCAUUGAAGCUGUCCACAAGGCCGUAAGUAACAUAGUCGGCAAAAAGCCAUUGUAUGUUGGUGUAGCUCAACGCAAAGAGGAAAGACGAGCGAUGCUAGUGGUAAGUCUAAAUUGUUAUUUCCCAAGUGAUCAUUUUCAUUUCACUCCUUGGGUUCCUAGCGGCAUGACGCCAUAUACGUAUAACAUGCCGAGGCCACUGCACCAUGCUUGGCGUGAUGCAUGGAAGAAACUAGUUAAGAAUUCUGAGGCAUACAAUGUGGAAUCGGUAAGCUUCAGUUCUACAACUUCAAAUGACAAAAAUAAUGACCCUUAA
rnacentral:rRNA from 1 species